CUCUCUCUCUCUCUCAGCUACUAAGCAAACUUCAGAGAUGGAAACACAGCUUUAGCAGAGAUAACCUGCCUGAUGACUCCUCUGUGAUAAGUCAGCCAAGCGCCUCCUGUCACAGCUGGCCAGUGAGUGGUGGCAGAUAGACUCGAGACCAGAGUUCACUGAACCCUGUCUGGGGCACAACGCUCCAGAGCACUGGGAGCUGCCUCCAAGAAAAGAAGACACUUUAACCCACCAGCAACCUCCCAGGGAAUGGUGCGGAUGAGAUGGACGUGCAUGCCUAGAAAUACAAAUACAAUGGAAGCAAUGGGCAGAGAUAAAUCUGGAACGACUGCCCACGGUCACACAGAGCCUUGGUAGCACACAGGCAAUCUGGUUUUCUUCUCAUUGGAUGAAAGUAUAAGAAAUACAAUUUACAGCCUAGCUAGCUUUUUAAUGGUUAGUAUGAGAAAGAAAGGAAAGUCCAGAUGUUUGAUUUUUAAACAUGUUUCUGUUCUUGCUUACUGUGAGUUGAAUGCUAAAUUGUGAGUUUAGUGUUAGCUUUAAAGGUGGACUGGGAAGUAUUUUCUCCUUAUGACCUGUACUUUCUCGUUCCAAUCCUGCAUUGGAAAGAUUUCAGGGUAGUUACCAUGGGACAUAGGUGAAGAAGGGAGCAGAAAUCACACAUGUGAAGUCAGUAUUAUUAUUCCACCUACUUAAAAUAGAGGACAAGAGGAAAGGCUGAACAGCAAAAGCCAUAUGUGGAUUCCAUUGUUAUCGAGGGACAUUGGUUUUCAUACCUUUGUUUUCAACAAGUAUUUAUUGAAAAUUGACAAUGUGCUCAUCUUGGGGGAUACAACAAAGAAUCCAAUAAAGCCUCUGUUCCUCUGUGCUUUGCAUUUUAGGGACUAGGAGAAGACAGAGGAUGGAAGGAAAAAUAGCAUGUGGGGAAAUAAGAUAAUUUCAAACACUAAUAAGUGUUAUGGUGAUGAUAAAACAGAGUGAGGCAAUGGCAUGGCUGGAGGUGGGGAGCUUAGCUCAGUUCUGUCCUGUCCAAUACAGUGACCACCAGCUACCUGUAGCUCUUGUGCGUUUAAAAUUUGACUAGUCCAGCUGGGCAUGGUGGUACAUGCCUGUAGUGUAAGCACUCUGGAAGGCUGAUG